AUACGGAGGGUGCUAGUGUUAUUCGGAAUCACUGGGCGUAAAGAGCACGUAGGCGGACAGGUAAGUCAGAUGUGAAAUCCCGGAGCUCAACUUCGGAACUGCAUUUGAUACUGCCUGUCUUGAGUGUGGUAGAGGGGGAUGGAAUUCCCGGUGUAGAGGUGAAAUUCGUAGAUAUCGGGAGGAACACCAGAGGCGAAGGCGAUCCCCUGGGCCACUACUGACGCUGAGGUGCGAAAGCGUGGGGAGC
rnacentral:rRNA from 1 species